UACGGAGGGUGCAAGCGUUAUCCGGAUUUAUUGGGUUUAAAGGGUGCGUAGGCGGGCUAUUAAGUCAGUGGUGAAAUCUCCGAGCCUAACUCGGAAAUUGCCAUUGAUACUGAUGGUCUUGAGUACAUUUGAAGUGGGCGGAAUGUGUCAUGUAGCGGUGAAAUGCUUAGAUAUGACACAGAACACCGAUUGCGUAGGCAGCUCACUAAACUGUAACUGACGCUGAGGCACGAAAGCGUGGGGAGCAAACAGG
rnacentral:rRNA from 1 species